rnacentral:rRNA from 1 species
UACGUAGGUGGCAAGCGUUGUCCGGAGUUAUUGGGCGUAAAGAGCGUGUAGGCGGCCAAGCAGGUCCGCUGUGAAAACUCGAGGCUCAACCUCGAGACGUCGGUGGAAACCGUUUGGCUAGAGUCCGGAAGAGGAGAGUGGAAUUCCCGGUGUAGCGGUGAAAUGCGCAGAUAUCGGGAAGAACACCCGUGGCGAAGGCGGCUCUCUGGGACGGUACUGACGCUGAGACGCGAAAGCGUGGGGAGCGAACAGG